UACGUAGGCAGCAAGCGUUGUUCGGAAUUACUGGGCGUAAAGGGCUCGUAGGUGGCCAACUAAGUCAUACGUGAAAUCCCUCGGCUUAACCGGGGAACUGCGUCUGAUACUGGAUGGCUUGAGGUUGGGAGAGGGAUGCGGAAUUCCAGGUGUAGCGGUGAAAUGCGUAGAUAUCUGGAGGAACACCGGUGGCGAAGGCGGCAUCCUGGACCAAUCCUGACACUGAGGAGCGAAAGCCAGGGGAGCAAACGGG
rnacentral:rRNA from 1 species